rnacentral:misc_RNA from 1 species
AAGAAUUGAGUGAGCAAGGGUGCUUUCCUGAAAAAUGAUCUGCCAGCAGUGCAGGUGAAGGGCAUCGAGGCUCAAGUUCCAAAGGAUGACCAGAGAUUCCCUGAAAACACUGUUUGGCCUGAUGAAUUGAAGUGGGCCAACACCAACAGCCACCGGCGGCCGUCGCGGCCGUACCAGCCGCCGGUGGACGUCCACUCACAGCUGUCGGAGGUGUUCCGGGCGGUGCUGGGUCCCGCCGCCGGCGCCCACACGGCCGUCGGAGACCUGGCCGCCAAACACCGGCUGCUGACGGCCUGCGCCGACCGGCUGGGGCACCACGUCACCAACAGCCAGCUGCACAACAUCACCACGCUGGGUGACGUCAUUUCGUACUACUCGGAGCCGGUGACCACCAGCACUCCGCUGGAGCAGCUGAGUGAACAGGAACUCCCCAAGAACAUACACGUUCAGCUCGAGUACCUGCGCUUUCACCCCGAAACGGAUACUAAGUUUGGUGGUGUGACUGCCUUCCCGAAAAGUUCGACAGUGGUCUCCUCUAUAAAGUACAAGAAGAAGUACCGCGGCUACGCGACGCCCAAAUCCUGGCCAUACAAGUAGCCGCUAGUCAUUUGCAAGCUGUUGUAAUAUGUACCGUCUGUUGUGUGUGACAAUAUAGACCAUCUUUAUA